UACAGAGGGUGCGAGCGUUAUCCGGAUUCACUGGGUUUAAAGGGUGCGUAGGUGGGCAGGUAAGUCCGUGGUGAAAUCCCCGAGCUUAACUCGGGAACUGCCAUGGAUACUAUUUGUCUUGAAUAUUGUGGAGGUAAGCGGAAUAUGUCAUGUAGCGGUGAAAUGCUUAGAUAUGACAUAGAACACCAAUUGCGAAGGCAGCUUACUACACAGUUAUUGACGCUGAGGCACGAAAGCGUGGGGAUCAAACAGG
rnacentral:rRNA from 1 species